rnacentral:tRNA from 1 species
AAUUUAAAUAGCUUAUAAAGAGCAUAGUAUUGAAGAUACUAAGGAAGAAAUUAUUCUUUUAAAU